rnacentral:rRNA from 1 species
CACCUACGGGAGGCAGCAGUGGGGAAUUGUUCGCAAUGGGCGCAAGCCUGACGACGCAACGCCGCGUGGAGGAUGAAGAUCUUCGGGUCGUAAACUCCUUUCGAUCGAGACGAAUGGCCCUUGGGUUAACAGCCGAAGGGAAUGACGGUACCGAGAGAAGAAGCCCCGGCUAACUCCGUGCCAGCAGCCGCGGUAAUACGGGGGGGGCAAGCGUUGUUCGGAAUUACUGGGCGUAAAGGGCUCGUAGGUGGCCAACUAAGUCAGACGUGAAAUCCCUCGGCUUAACCGGGGAACGGCGUCUGAUACUGGAUGGCUUGAGUUUGGGAGAGGGACGCGGAAUUCCAGGUGUAGCGGUGAAAUGCGUAGAUAUCUGGAGGAACACCGGUGGCGAAGGCGGCGUCCUGGACCAACACUGACACUGAUGAGCGAAAGCCAGGGGAGCAAACGGGAUUAGAUACCCCGGUAGUCUU